AGUUGGUGGAGUGAUUUGUCUGGUUAAUUCCGUUAACGAACGAGACCUUAACCUGCUAACUAGUCGCUUUCUGAACAAGGAAGUUGACUUCUUAGAGGGACUAAGCGUGCAAGCGCUUGGAAGUUUGAGGCAAUAACAGGU
rnacentral:rRNA from 1 species